AAAGGGACUGAUGAAUUUACUCAUUCUUCACUAAACAACAAGGAAAUUUCAGCUAAAAUAUAGCAUCUUGGAAGAUAUUUAUCCAGGAUGUUCCUUCCAUAGGGACACACUUCAGAGAAAUAAAAGCAGGCGUAUACUGGCAGUGGAAAGAUUUAACUGCUAUAAACAUCCAAGACAACCAAGAGCAU